rnacentral:rRNA from 1 species
CCUACGGGUGGCAGCAGUGGGGAAUAUUGCACAAUGGGCGAAAGCCUGAUGCAGCAACGCCGCGUGAGCGAUGAAGGCCUUCGGGUCGUAAAGCUCUGUCCUCAAGGAAGAUAAUGACGGUACUUGCGGAGGAAGCCCCGGCUAACUACGUGCCAGCAGCCGCGGUAAUACGUAGGGGGCUAGCGUUAUCCGGAAUUACUGGGCGUAAAGGGUUCGUAGGUGGUUUAUUAGGUCAGAGGUGAACGGCUACGGCUCAACCGUAGUACGGCUUUGAAACUGGGGGACUUGAGUGUAGGAGAGGAGAGUGGAAUUCCGAGUGUAGCGGUGAAAUGCGUAGAUAUUAGGAGGAACACCAGUUGCGAAGGCGGCUCUCUGGACUGGAACUGACACGGAGGCACGAAAGCGUGGGGAGUAAACAGGAUUAGAUACCCCAGUAGGC